rnacentral:rRNA from 1 species
CGAGAAAGCCCGCAAGGGUGAGUAAAGCGGCGCACGGGUGCGUAACACGUGGGUAAUCUGCCCUAGAGUCCGGAAUAACUCGCCGAAAGGCGUGCUAAUGCCGGAUGAGACCACGGGAGCCUCGGCUCCUGGGGGAAAAGGUGGCCUCUGUAUACAAGCUAUCGCUCUAGGAUGAGCCCGCGGCCCAUCAGCUCGUUGGCGGGGUAAUGGCCCACCAAGGCUACGACGGGUAGCUGGUCUGAGAGGACGAUCAGCCACACUGGAACUGAGACACGGUCCAGACUCCUACGGGAGGCAGCAGUGGGGAAUCUUGCGCAAUGGGCGAAAGCCUGACGCAGCAACGCCGCGUGUGAUGAAGGUCUUCGGAUCGUAAAGCACUGUCGCGAGGGACG